rnacentral:rRNA from 1 species
AUACAGAGGGCGCGAGCGUUAAUCGGAAUUACUGGGCGUAAAGCGCGCGUAGGCGGCUUAUUAAGUCAGAUGUGAAAUCCCCGGGCUCAACCUGGGAACUGCAUCUGAUACUGGUAAGCUAGAGUUUUGGAGAGGGAAGUAGAAUUUCAGGUGUAGCGGUGAAAUGCAUAGAGAUCUGAAGGAAUACCAGUGGCGAAGGCGACUUCCUGGCCAAAAACUGACGCUGAGGUGCGAAAGCGUGGGUAGCAAACGGGAUUAGAAACCCCGGUAGUCC